CAGUCGCCGCGGUAAUACGAGGGGGGCAAGCGUUGUUCGGAAUUAUUGGGCGUAAAGGGCGCGUAGGCGGUUUGACAAGUUUGGUGUGAAAUCUAUGGGCUCAACCCAUAGCCUGCAUCGAAAACUGUCGGGCUUGAGUAUGGGAGAGGUGAGUGAAAUUUCCGGUGUAGCGGUGAAAUGCGUAGAUAUCGGAAGGAACACCUGUGGCGAAAGCGGCUCACUGGACCAUUACUGACGCUGAGGCGCGAAAGCUAGGGGAGCAAACAGGAUUAGAUACCCCCGUAGUCCCUGUCUCUUAUAC
rnacentral:rRNA from 1 species